rnacentral:rRNA from 1 species
CCUACGGGUGGCAGCAGUGGGGAAUAUUGCACAAUGGGCGAAAGCCUGAUGCAGCAACGCCGCGUGAAGGAAGAAGGGUUUCGGCUCGUAAACUUCUAUUAACAGGGACGAAUGUAAUGGCGUUUCCUGAAUAAGAAGCCGCUACUAACUACGCGCCAGCAGCGGCGGUAAUACGGAGGGGGCAAGCGUUCGCCGGAAUUACUGGGUGUAAAGGGUGAGUAGGCGGCAUGGUAAGGCAGAUGUGAAAUCCUUGGGCUUAACCAGAGGAUUGCAUUUGGAACUAUCACGCUAGAGUACAGGAGAGGAAAGCGGAAUUCCUAGUGUAGGGGUGAAAUGCGUAGAUAUUAGGAAGAACACCCGUGGCGAAGGCGGCUUGCUGGAAUAAAACUGACGCUGAGGCACGAAAGCGUGGGGAGCGAACAGGAUUAGAUACCCUUGUAGUC